CUGCAGACAGUAUCAAUGUGUAUUAUUAGCCAGUUAUAACUCAAGCCUUUAAAACCAGGCAAGUCACAAUAGGCUCUUCAAACACCUUUCUGACAUAACUAAGGCAAUCAGCCCAUUGCGCCAUAACCAGAAGACAAUAUCUAAUGGCAAUUGCCAUGUAUAGUGUGAAGGCCUUUCCUUGUGGAUUCAGAAUGGAGCAUGGACCACAAUUCUCAGAAGCGACUUCUAGAGAGACUGUCCUUGGACUCAAACUGUAAUUUUUUCCUGAGCCCCCAGCCUGAUGGCCUCCCGCAUCAGAUGUUGGACUCACCAAGCCUCCACAAUUAUAUGAGCCCAUUCUCUAAAGUAAGUAUCUUUUAUACACACACACAUUCUAUUGUUUCUCUUUCUCUGGAAAACUCAGACUUAUACAGAUGGUCAUAUAUGCAAAUGUCCAUGUUAGAGGUGAAGCUACAAUAUUUGUCCUGAGAACUGGGUUGUUUUGUCAUAACAAACUACACCAAAACUCAGUGACUUAAAAUAACAGUUCUGUUACUAUUUCUUGUAAUUCUUCCAUUGUGGCUGGGCUUAGCUGAAUGGUUGUUCUGCUGAUCUUACCAGAGGUCACUUGUAUCGGUGCAUUCAGCUGAACAGUCUGCUAGGGCCUGGGCUCAGUUGGGGUGCUGGGAUGGUUGGUCUUUCCAUCCAUUUUGUCUCAGGGCCUCUCCCUUCCUUCUGACCUCCCUGACUGCCCCUCUAGGGGUCUCUCCAUGUGAUCCCUUCAUCAGGGUAGGUGAACUUCUUACAUAGAAGCUCAGGGUAUCAAAGUGCAAAAGCAGAAGCUGCAAGGCUUUCUUAAGGCUAAAGCCCAGAAUUGGUAUAGUGUAACUUCCAUCACAGUUUAUCGGUUAAAACAAAUCACAGAACCAGCCCAGAUUCAGGAUGCAUCCAAGAACAUGCAUACUGCAAGGCAUGGUUUAUCAAGGGCCAUGGCCUUAUUUAACAACAACACAGCCUGAGUGUACCCUUAUGCAAUGGCAUCCUUCAGUUCUAUCACCACAGAAGGUAAAUUGAGGUCCACUGACUUUAAAAUGAUGCCAUAUGGUAGCCAAUGGAAAACCAGUGUGGUGAGAUGGAUUUCCUCACUGGACACAGACUCAGUCUCACAAAAUCCUAGUGGCAUUGUGAAUGGUGUUUUCUCAUUAGCUCUCAUCAGCACCUAGCAUCUGUAUAUUUAUCAUUUUACUCUCCCUGCUCAGAUUGGUCUGUUGACUCUCAUUUCAUGAUUGACGAUAACCAGAUUCUCACCAAUAAUGGGGCAUAGAGGAUUAAAGCAAUUAACCUGAUAGUUCAUUCCAACAGCAUAUUUCCUAUAGUAUCUAUUAAUGUCUUCAUUUUAUCACUCAAAUAAUCAAGUGCAAGUUGGAACUCUGGAUAACUUAUCGUAAGACAGACUUGAUGCUCCAUUGGCUUUAGUAACCCGGCUCCCUUGCCUGGUGUUGUCUGUGGAACCCCAUGUACUUUGCAAUUUCCAAAAAGGUGAAGCACUUUUGAGCCACUGUGAAUGUCAUCAGCAGUCCCUAAGAAGAGCAUCUGGGAGCUGCUGAAGGCAAGAACAGUGCAGGAGAGCCAGGCAGGGGAGCACAUAGCGUGGAGCAUCCCAGGCCAGGCUCUGUGGGAUGUUUUGGGCACUAGACCCUCUGGGUAGCUGGCUUGGCAAGGCAAGAAACAUGGCAACCAGAACCUUCUCCAAGACUCCAAGCCAAAACCUGCCCCAGACUUGGCUACUUGGUUGUACCUGUAAGAGCCCAGGAGUACAUUUGAUAUAGUUUGGAUUUGUGUCCCCACCCAAACCUCAUGUUGAGAUAUAAUCCCCAGUGUUGCUGGUGGGGCCUGGUGGGAGGUGACUGGAUCAUGGGGCUGAAUUUUCCUCUUUGGUGCUAUUCUCAUAAUAGAGUUCUCACAAGAUCCAGUUGUUUAGAAGUGUGUGGGACCUGCCCCCUCACUCCCUUCCUCCUGCUCCAGCCAUGUGACAUGCGUGUGCUUCCCCUUCACAUUCCACCAUGAUUGUAAGUUUCCUGAGGCCUCCCUAGAAGCAGAAGCCAUCGUGCUUCCUGUAAAGCCUGUGGAACCAUUUGCCAAUUAAACCUCUUUUUUUAAUUACCCAGUCUCAGGUAUUUCUUUAUUGCAGUGUGAGAACUGACUAAUACAACAUCUCUUUUUUUUUUUUUUUUUUAAUUUGUGACAGGGUCUUGCUGUCCACUCCAGGCUGGAGUGCAGUGGUGCAAUCUCAGCUUACUACGGCCUCCACCUCCUGGGCUCAAGCAAUCCUCCCACCUCAGCCUCCUGAGUAGCUGAGACUACAGACAUGUCCUGCCAUACCCAGUCUUUUUUUUUUUCCAUUUUUUGUAGCGACAGGAUCUUGCUGUUUCCCGAACUCAUCUAGAACACCUGGGCUGAAGCAACCCUCCCUCCUCAGCCUCCCAAAGCACUUGGAUUACAGGCUUGAGCCACUGUGCCUGGCCAGGAAUAAAUUUCUAACCCAUCCCAUGACUCCCAGCAGAAGGAAAGUCUAAAUUUAGCCAUAGUUUCAGAAACAAUGCCCUUACAUGACGUGAAAUAAACAGGUCUUUAAGAGAGAGGUGCCAGCUCCUCGUUCGUGGAUGCAUUUGUCCACCUAGGAAUAGACACACGCUGCACAUUUCCUGCAUGCUGGGCUCUGUAAGGAGGAAGGGAGAGGCCCCUGCUUGGAGAAGCUUUCCAUCCAACAGAUGUGGAUGCUACCUAUGCCACCAGUGUCAAACAUAACUUCAGGAUCACAGAAGAGGCCGAGAGUGCUAAAAGGUCACGCUGGAAUGAAGCAUAUGAGGUAAUAUUAAGAGAAGUAGCGAGAGUCGGUGCUAGGGUCUGAAUGUCUGUGUCUCUCCCGAAAUUCAGACAUUGAAACCUAAUCCUCAAGGUGAUGGUAUUAGGAAGUGGGGAAUUUGGGAGGUGAUUAAGUCAUGAGGGCAGGGGUCUUGUGAAUGGGAUGAGCAUCCUUAUAAAAGAGACCCCAGAGAGCUGCCUGGUCCCUUCCACCAGGUGAGAACAUAGCAAGAAGCUACCAUCUGUGCACCAGGAAAUGGGCCCUCACAAGACAUCAAAUCUGCCAGCCACCUCAAUGGUGGGCUUUCCAGCCUCCAGAACUGUGAGAAAUAAAUUUCUGUUUUUAUAAGCCACCUGGUUUAUGGUAUUUUGUUACAGCAACCUAAACAGACUAAGACAAUUGGCAAGAUCAGAUGUAUUUGGCAAAGAUUUGCAUAGACUAGAGUCCCGCUGUGUGGCUGGAGCAAGGGAAGCUUGCGCUGUGCCUCAGGUUGAUCCAGUCCUUACCUUGUGGCCUUGCCCGAUCCUCACAGCACCCCUCGGUGGUGAGAAUGAUUAUCUCCAUUCUAUGGAUGAGGAUAUGGAUAACCAGAGAGGUUAAGUGAACAGCCUCAGAUCACACAGCCAAUUCAAGUCAGGGCUGCUGCAGAGAGCCUGAAACAGGGGGAUCCUGGGAGGGAAGGAAGAGCAUGCAUCCUCUCACCCAAAACAGAUGUCUGGCUGAGUUCCAAAAGCAAAAGUACUCUGAGUGGGUCCCACCCCUGAUGGGGAAGGCAGCCCCCUGGCCACCAGCCUGGGGAGGCCACACAGUUGCUGCUAUCCCAUGGGCAGCUGGCCCCUUCCUCCCACAAACAGCAGCACCUGCUCACCAGAUCACCAGGCAGAGGCAAGAUGAAUGUUCGCAGCACCACGUCCUGCUGAAGCUCUACACAAACACAGCACCCAUGGCAACCAAACAGAGGGCAAACACAGGAGCAGGAAUGCCGCUGUGAGAACAAGGCCCAGGAGUGACAGCCACGAGCCACCCACUUUAUGGGCACUUACUAAGUGCCAGGCGCCACAUCAAGGAUUAAAUACCUUAUUUAAUCAUCGAUGCAGCCUGAUGAGGAAUGUGCCAUUGCUGCCCGCUUUAACAACAACGAAACAGACAUGAGCAGAGUUGAUGGAAGCUGUGUAAGGAGAGAACCAAAGGCUCUGUCUGAGCCCGGGUGUCUGAUGCCACAACCCAGCCACAAUCUCCAUGCUACCAUUUCCCCUGACAGACACCGAAGUAACACAGCCCCUCGGGAGAGCUGGGCCCCCAAGUUAGGGACAGGUAAAUGGCGACACAGAAUAUAAGCUCCUCCAAGGCAGGAAUUUUGUGUUUUGCUCAUUGAUGGGAAGCAAGCUUCUACAAUAGUGCCAGGCAGGUGGAUGACUUUGAAUAAGUAUUUGUUGGCCAGGGGCGGUGGCUCACACUUGAAAUCCUUGCACUUUGGGAGGCUGAGGCAGGUGGGUUGCUUGAGCCCAGGGGAUUGAGACCAGCCUGGGCAGCAUGGUGAAACCCUGUCUCUACAAAAAAUACACACAAAAAAAUUAACCAAGCAUGGUGGCGGUUGCCUGUAGUCCCAGCUGCUUGGGAGUCU
rnacentral:lncRNA from 1 species